rnacentral:rRNA from 1 species
CUGUUGGCUGCGUUUGGGCAUGCAUUCGGGCUGUCUUGCAACAUGGCCAAAAGCUCCAUCUCGCCGAUCCAUUGUAAGCAGGAGGAAAUCCAUCAAGUAACAUCAAUCCUUGCCUGUUCCAUUAAGGAAUUCCCGCUAACCUAUCUGGGCUUGCCUUUCUCGGUCACUCGGUUUCCAAAAUCUGCUCUCCAACUGCUCAUUGACAGAACUGCUGACUAUCUGCCCACCUGGAAAGCUCGAUAUCUUCGUAGGGCUGGCAGACUCGUCCUAAUCAACUCAACGCUCACCGCAGCCUCCAUCUACCUAAUGCUUGUGCUUGACUUGCCGGCGUGGUUCAUUUCAUGCAUUGACAAAAUCAGACGUGGAUUCUUUUGGUGUGGACACGAAGAGGCCAAAGGUGGGAACUGUCUAGUCAACUGGAAUCGUGUUUGCACGCCUAAAGUCUAUGGUGGACUCGGGACACAAUCUCAAGUUGUUGAACCAUGCCCUACUCCUCAAAUGGCGCUGGUUUGA